rnacentral:lncRNA from 1 species
AACUUAAUCAAUUUAGGACAUGUGCAGUGUAACUAAAACAUGUCUAGAUUAAUAACUUCAGCUCAUUCCUACAUCAGUAUAUAGUAACUUAAAUAAAUGAGUGGAGUAAAGAAAACUUGAAAGAGCGGGCAUUCCAAAAACAAAUCAGCAGAUACUCACAAUAGGAUGGGCAAGUAGCUCUCUAAAAUUGUAGUUGUAGAUGAUUUCUCCCAGCAGGGCAGAAAGAGACAAGUGAUGAAAUGCAAAAUCCUAACAGUUCACAAAAAAAGGUGCAUUCAAUAAUAUCAUAUAUGCAGAUAUAUAGAAAAUAUAUCAUAGACUACUAUGAACUAUCCUGUAACCUCUAAAGCGGAAGACCAUUUGUUGCCCCAAUUGAUAAAGGAAUUGCCUUAGCUACAAUAUUUUCCUUAAUUAUGGGGAGUAAUUAGUAAAGACAAAAUGAUAGUAGGAUCUACAACUAAUUGCAAAUAUAACAAAAAGGCUAUAUCAAUAUAUAUCAUGUCAUGCAAA